rnacentral:piRNA from 1 species
UGAAAAGUGCUUGCCAUAAAGGGAGAGGC